ACUCAAAUGAAUUGACGGGGGCCCGCACAAGCGGUGGAGCAUGUGGAUUAAUUCGUCACUAACCGAAGAACCUUACCCAGGCUUGACAUCGAGGGAAAGCCGGUGAAAGCCGGUCCUCCCCGCAAGGGGACCCGAAGACAGGUGUUGCAUGGCUGUCGUCAGCUCGUGUCGUGAGAUGUUGGGUUAAGUCCCGCAACGAGCGCAACCCUCACCGUAUGUUGCCAGCGUCAAGUCGGGCACUCUUACGGAACUGCCCGUGCAAGCGGGAGGAAGGUGGGGACGACGUCAAGUCGGCAUGGCCCUUACGCCUGGGGCUUCACACAUGCUACAAUGGCCGGUACAGAGGGCUGCGAUCCCGCGAGGGGGAGCGAAUCCCACAAAGCCGGCCCCAGUUCGGAUCGCGGGCUGCAACUCGCCCGCGUGAAGCCGGAAUCGCUAGUAACCGCAGGUCAGCUAAACUGCGGUGAAUACGUUCCCGGGCCUUGUACACACCGCCCGU
rnacentral:rRNA from 1 species